UGCUUGUGUGCAGGAAUCGCACGUUGAAAAGGCUGCUGAAAGCAUAGCGAGACUUUUCUACUGAGCUGCUUGGGGUAUUUUCAAUGCAAGGCUGGCAGCUACUGUGUGCUGCCUCCAGCCUGCAGCAUGGGAGCCUCAGAGAAAACGAUGUGUUCGGCGAGACUAAGAAAACACGGUCACAGACACUACAGAGCUGUGCUGGGAUGGACACAGCAGUUGUGGGGAGGGGUCAUGCUCAAAUACGCUAUUUUAAGCAAAAUCUGAGAUGAGGAUGUGUUCUUAGCCACAGGAAGAGUGUUGUCUUAGUCAGAACGGUUAAUCAUGCAGCAUGAAGAGAAGUGCGUACUGUAAUGCUCAUGGUGUCUGUUUCCAACAGCUUUUUUCCUCCUCUGAAAUGACUUUCAUAUAUUUUGGUGCUGCUCAUUCACAAUAUGGUAGCAUCUGCACUCUGGCUGUGUUGAUGGAAAGCUGGAGGUUCUCCGGGUGGUAUGAGCCAUGCUUCUGUCACUGAGUUAAGCUCCAUGUGCCUCUUCUCAGGAGUCAGGCAGACAGAGAGAAAGGGGGGGGGGGUGUUGGAAAAAUGUCCUGCUGACGUCAAUGAAGACCACACUGUGCUGGAUAAUAUUACUGUGUACCUCAACCACCCACUCCCUUUUAUUUACUAGAAACUAGGCAAGCUGUUUUGAAACCCAUCGCUUCCAGCGUGUUUGCACUGUUCUCCCUUGACCAAAGGCUAUUAAUUGUCAGGAGCUUGAAAGCUACCUGAUUCCUUGUUCAAAGCACUGAAGCAGAGGGGAUUUCCAUGAGUAAUAAUUUCAGUCUGUGCCUGUGCAGUGCACCGUAGGCUAGAGUAAAUUGAUCCAGCUGCUUGCAAGACUAGAUGGAAAAGUGCCCGGGGGGGGGCUGGGAGCACAUCACCAGAUGGAGCUGGAUGCUGUUGUCAUCACAUGGGGCUCCCCAGCUGCUGGGCAUGCUCGAGCUCGACUUCCACCAUGAGCAGGGCGCGCGCAGCCUUCCUGUCUGCGCUGACUUGCAGCGCAAGGCGAAUUCGCCAGCACAUGUUGCAACGUCUUCCCUUCUAAUAAAGAGGAUAAUUUUAGAUUAGCCAGAACUGUCACCUCUCCCCACUACCUCCCUUCGCCUCCCUGCUCACCGUCCUUAUCAUGCUGACCCCAGUGUUUUGCUCAGCAGCAACCUUCCCUGUGACAGAGAAUAUAAAAGCUUCCGAGAAGCCAGCAACCUCUACAAAUAAUAAAAAUUGGCAGGAUUAACCUGUAACCCGAGGCGACGAAAACACGGAUUCCACUAGCCAGAUGGCAGAGUUCAAAGAUCCACUCACUUCCUGGCGGAGGUUGCACAAGUUAAUUUUUAUCCUUGUUAAAAAGAAAUAAGAAGUGAAAACAUAGCAAUAAAACAUGUGCUGCUUGCUAUCUCUGGUUCUAAUCACAUUUAUUUUAUCCCUCUGAGUUUCGUUAUUAGGGAUGUUAGGAAAAUACAUUCCUUCUCUCUUCUGGAGAUGUUUAAAUCAUGCUUGGGUUUGUUGGUUUUUUUUGUCAUUUUGCCGUGGUGUUUGUAUGAUCAAUUCCAAUUGAGUCUAUUGGAAGAAGAGCACUAUGUAGGAGGAAUGAAUUAGCAUAGCAGGAAUGCAGUUCACUGUAUCUUUGUAGUUAACAAUUCAAUUAGAGUUGCAGGGAAAAGAGAUGGCACCCGAACUCUGUGACUGCUUCCUUUGGGAGAGCCUGGGGCUGGCAGUGUGACAGUGGUUGCUCAGUGCAAGCUGUGCAAGAGGGUCUGGGGAUUAUCUGAGCCUGAGCUCUCUGGCAGGCUCAUGGAGGGAGAGAUCCCCACCACAAAUGAUGUGCAAAGCCAUUAAAUGGGGUUGCCAUGGCACAGACCGCACAGUGCUGGGGCAGGGGUGGCAGGGAAAGGCAUCUCCCAAGUGCUGGCACUGUGUGCUGAGGAGAAGUGGGGCAGGGAGGCUUUCCCUCCCAGCUGCAGAGCAGUUUGCUUGGCAGCAGAAAGUAAUUUUAUGGGAUGUGGUUUAUCCAGGGAAUGGCAGGAACAGGACUAGCGCAGGGAUGUCCCGCUUCAUGCCCCAUGGCAGGGCUGGCCUGCCAGCACUUUUCACAAACAGCGAAUACAACCACGCUCUUUACCUUUCCUAUUAGUCCCCUCUAACAAAACAAACAUGUGCACAGCAUUGCACCAUGGGGACCUUACUGUACCCCUGCUGAAUCAGCAGUAGUAAAUUUACCGGAGGGAGGGGAUCAGGGUGUAUCAAUCUGAGAGCUGCUCUCAAUUCUUUCUCUGGGCUUGACCACACAACUUUCUUCCCAAGCUGAGCGUUAACUGCGACAAGAAAGGGCUGUGAAGUGUGAGGCUUAGAUAAGUGCCUGUGUGCAUUGCUAUCAUGCGGCUGUCAUGAAGUGUACACGAAGGUAAACAGCUCAGCCUGCAGACUGCAGAAGCCGGGGUGGAAGAAUAAAGUUCAUGGGUUGUUUUGUGAUGGUUUGUCCUGCCUCGCUGGCUGUGCCAUUAGUGAAAACAGAAGUUGAGCUCCUGGCAGGGUUUUGGAGCAGGCUGCAGGUACCCUUCAGGAGAGCAGCACUGGGAGUUCCAGGCAGGGAGCUCAUGAUUAAUUUUGCAGGCAUUUAUUGUGCAAUGCGAGAUGGCCACCGGCCAGCUCAGAAGUUAAGCCAGAGGAUGACUGUCAAAUGAAACUGUUACGUUUGGCAGAUCUUUCCAAAGCUGCUGUGCAAAACAGGCGUCCUGAAGCUGAUUUCUGGAUUUUCCAAACCUUCUGUACAACAUAUUCUUGUAUGGCAGCCUCCUCCGUGCUCCCCUUUUCGGCAGAAGAAUUAGAUUUGACUUGCAGGCUGCAUGGAUUUCAGGUCAUGAUUUGUAGUACAGGCAGCCCUCUCCAUGCCUUACAUUUACCAGCAAAUCUCUCCUUCUUGUAAUUCCUCCUUUAAGGAUCUUACAAGGAGCCAGCUCUCCUUCACUUGGCUUUCUGAAAACAAACCUGGGUUUUCUUUGAAAAGCCUUUUCAGCCCAGAUGAAGGUGAGGAGGAGAUGAAAAGGCUGGUGGUGCGAAACGAGCCCUGCCUGUGCAAGCAGAUUGCGAUAGAAACUUCCCUCUUGUGUGCCUUACCCCAAGCUAAGGCUUCCACUACAUGGAGGAGCUUCGGGAAGUGAUGAAGGAGACAGAAGUGUUGGAAAAUAUGGAGGGAGGGAGAGAGUAAAAGGGCAGGCUGGGGUGAUCAAAAUCCAGCCAAGAAAGUUUCCAAAGCAGCAAACCAGAGAUGGAUAAAGAACUGUCAGUGAGUCAGGGGGAAGGAAUGGCAGCAUUGUCUCUUGUCAAAGCAAAGAAUCUGUAAUGGAAGAAGAUGAAGUGCCAGGGAACUAAUAUCCCUCUGCAGCAAUUGUCUGAUCCCUCCUUUCCCCUCCAAAAAAGCAAGUCGCUGCUGGCUAGCUAACAAGUAAAAGAACCCAGUCCAAAACCUAAUCUAGUCUCCUGUGCCAAUAAGCGCAUCUGUCGGUGUGUCAGUGUUGAUCCUCCUUCAGUACAUGCCACAUGCUCGUUUCUUUACACAAGAUGGGCUGGAAGGGCCAUUAACUAGAUUAGAAAUUCUAAAGCACAAUUAAAAAACAUGCUGCUUCUUUGCUUUAAUCGUCUCUCCUUUAGCUUCCAGGCUUCUUUUCUCCCCGGCCUGACAGAGUCUAUGUUGUGUGGUGGUGAUAGGGUAUCAUUACAGAACCGGGGCUUGUUUCUGAACUGUGUAGCGUCAUGCAUUACCUUGGCAGCAACCCGCAGGUCCAUGAAGCUCUCCAAAAAAGGAGUAACCCCUCCAACUGGCAGAACAAUAGCUGCAUUUACCACCUGUGGGGAGAAGAUUUGAGCAUUGAAGCUGCGCAGCCAAGGAGCGAGAUGGUGACUCACGAAAUCCCUUUCUGUUAGCUUUACUCUCCAGAGUUACCCAGACAAAAAAGAAUAGAAGGAAAGGAAACAUUUGGUCUAUCUAUUCACAGUGCAGCUAUACGUCUGUAGACCUACGGCAGCUGGAGGUGCAUGGGAAGGCAGGGGAUUGAAAGGUUACUAUCUGUAGCGCUCCGCAAGGCAGGAUUCACACCCUAGCAGCCUAUAUGAGGAUGGCUGCAUCUGCCCCAUUCAUAUGCAGAACAUUUCUCCAGGGAGAGUAGCGACACUGCAGAAAAUGCUGUGAUAUGGGUCAUGCUUUUGCUCCUCCUGCUCUCCUCCCGCACCUGGGCUGGGGAUGUGGACUCUCUCCGUCCUGCUUCAAGCAAAGGAUGUUCAGGCAGACCCUGCCCUGCUUCUGCAAAGCAGAAAGAGUGGCUCUCACCUGCCUGGCUGGUACCUGCACCCCAAGGGCAAGGUGAGGAGCAGCACCUUGGAGCAUUCCUGAUGUCCUAAGCAACAUCUGGUAACACAGGGCGGAUUGCAGCCUGUUUUCUGAGAUGGGGAAUUGCUGCUUAAUUGCUACUGUGUUUUACAAAUGCAGUGGGAAUUUUACAGAGGACAUAACAUAUUCUAAAAUGAGGGGUUUUUAUUCCUUGGGUAAGUGUUUUCCUCAUGCAGAACCGCAUUUAUUACUCUUAUUAAUGGCCUCACGGGUGCCUGUGCUAGUUCCAAGUCUUUAUAGUUGCUAUCAUUAUACAAUUUUGAAGGUACAGACCAGAUUCUGGCCUACCCACACUAAAAACAGUAGAGUUCAGGGAUUCGAUUUUUCACAGCUUUGGGCAUCAGGAUAUUUUAGCAUUCUCUCCUGUGCUUAUUGUGCUGAAAGCUCUCAUCAUCGCUGCCUAUAUAAUAUAGCAGGAAACACUCCCCUGUUGGAGAAAAUUAGACAUUAUAAUUGCCCUGUUAAUCCCUAAGGGAUUUUAGAAAUGAAUGCUAAAGUGUCCUACUAUUUCUAUAGGACUCUAUUUGAUUAUCCUUUUUAAAUGCUGCAAGAUUUUUCCAUAUGGUUAUGUUUAGGAUGCAUUAUGGAGGCCUUUCAUCUUCUUCCGAAGCACAGGAUGAAAUAUGGGUCACUGCUAGAAUAAAGCAGUGAGGUUUUGUGAUCCUGUAGUCUGCUGCAUCUGAUAUGAUAAGCCCUGUGCUGCUAGAGAAGGCAUCAACCUUUUGGGAACUAAAUGGCUUGGUGGGGUUGCUUUAAAAUUGGAGCUACACCUAUUUGAUACUUUUUUGGAUGAAAGAACAAGAUCUUUCAUUCUCCUUACUAUGGAGUGCCAGCCAGGUUUAAAAUUAAUAUCAACCAGUGUUGAAGAGGGAAGGAAAUGAGAGAAACAUUUCUUCCCCAGAAACAGCCCUGCUUUCCUGCCUUUUCCAUAAGCGCAUAGACGUCUGUCAAUUUUGGCACCAGAAAACAUUAAAAAUAAGGAGUUUUUUAAAUACCAGGAAUUCUUAUGCACCUUUAAAUGUCGCCCAAAAGGAAUGCAGAGGCUGUAAAAUGGACAAAAAGAGAACUGAGCCAGUCAAACAGUUAACGUGCUUCUGCAGAGAGCACUUACUGCUGCUUAACAAAACAUCUGAAAUAUCCCGGGUGUUCUUGGAGAAGGCUAGAACGAGGUGAAAGGCAAUGCCUUAUGGGUCCAGGAGCCUGGAAACUGAGGAGACGCCGGGAGUUGAAGAGCAGGGCUUUAGUUUCCUGCUGUCCCAAAUUCACUCCAGCUCCCCAGCAGAUUCCAGGAGUCUGGGAUAGCUGAUGCAAGAUGCCUGUGGUCUUUUUUGCUAGAAAUACUGAGUACCUAUCCUAGUUACUGAUUUGGAGCACAAUAAACUGUGGUAAAUCAGGCUCUUGGCGCUCAGAAUACAGACGUUUGAAAUGAGCAGAGGCUCUCUCAAGAGGUAUUUUUCCUAGCUAUAAAGAGGGGGAAUAGUUACGUUACAAGAGGGAAGGUUAAAUCAUGGAGAUUUUUUGUAAACUGCCUUGAAGCUUUGGAGAGGAAGCCAUUAUAGGAGCACAAUUUGCUCUUUAUUUUGUAUUUUAUUUAUUGCCUCAUUUUCAAAUAAUGAAAUUCUGAGCAUACCUCCUCACUGGCUGCUGAAAAAUAAGGGAAUGCAGGAGGAUUCUUAAUGACACUAAUAAACCCAGCUGAGCACUUCGCCAACAAAUUCUUUUUAUUGCAAAAAUACCAUUUUAUUAAUACAAAUGGUCUUUAUAGGAUUGCAUUGAUUGCCACGCAGUUUUGUUUAGAAAAAUAUACAGACCGAAUUAUAUUCGUUUGAAAUGUUCCUUUUUUAUAUGGUCGGAACAGAUCACUUCAGCCCAGAAUUUCAUUUUGUAAUGACUUUAUGGUUUGGACAGUCUAAUUUAUAUUCCAUAAUCAAAACAUAAAGAAUUAAAGUGACAUGAUUUUAUUGAAA